rnacentral:rRNA from 1 species
CAUGAGGCUCUGGGUCACCUCCCACCCGUGUUUAUUUACCUUGUUGCUUCGGCGAGCCUGCCUUUUGGCUGCCGGGGGACGUCAGUCCCCGGGUCCGUGCUCGCCGGAGACACCUUAGAACUCUGUCUGAAGAUUGUAGUCUGAGAUUAAAUAUAAAUUAUUUAAAACUUUCAACAACGGAUCUCUUGGUUCCGGCAUCGAUGAAGAACGCAGCGAAAUGCGAUACGUAAUGUGAAUUGCAGAAUUCAGUGAAUCAUCGAGUCUUUGAACGCACAUUGCGCCCUCUGGUAUUCCGGAGGGCAUGCCUGUCCGAGCGUCAUUGCUGCCCUCAAGCACGGCUUGUGUGUUGGGCCCCGUCCUCCUUCCGGGGGACGGGUCCGAAAGGCAGCGGCGGCACCGCGUCCGGUCCUCAAGCGUAUGGGGCUUUGUCACUCGCUUUGUAGGCCUGGCCGGCGCUUGCCGAUCAACCAAACUUUUUAUCAGGUUGACCUCGGAUCAGGUAGGGAUACCCGCUGAACUUAAGCAUAUCAAUAAGCGGAGGGAAAAGAAAAAAAAA